rnacentral:rRNA from 1 species
UACGGAGGGUGCGAGCGUUGUCCGGAAUCAUUGGGCGUAAAGGGCGCGUAGGUGGCCCGGUCAGCGUGCGGUGAAAGCUCGGGGCUCAACCCCGAGUCGGCCGUGCGAACUGCUGGGCUUGAGCACUGUAGAGGCAGGCGGAAUUCCGGGUGUAGCGGUGGAAUGCGUAGAGAUCCGGAGGAACACCGACGGCGCAGGCAGCGUCCUGGGCGCUUGCUGACACUGAGGCACGAAAGCUGGGGGAGCAAACAGG